GCAUAUCAAUAAGCGGAGGAAAAGAAACCAACAGGGAUUGCCUCAGUAACGGCGAGUGAAGCGGCAACAGCUCAAAUUUGAAAUCUGGCCUCACGGUCCGAGUUGUAAUUUGUAGAGGAUGCUUUUGGCGAGGUGCUUUCCGAGUUCCCUGGAACGGGACGCCAUAGAGGGUGAGAGCCCCGUACGGUAAGACCACCGAGCCUCUGUAAAGCUCCUUCGACGAGUCGAGUAGUUUGGGAAUGCUGCUCUAAAUGGGAGGUGUACGUCUUCUAAAGCUAAAUACCGGCCAGAGACCGAUAGCGCACAAGUAGAGUGAUCGAAAGAUGAAAAGCACUUUGAAAAGAGGGUUAAAAAGUACGUGAAAUUGUUGAAAGGGAAGCAUUCAUGACCAGACUUGGGCUUGGUUGAACAUCCGGCGUUCUCGCCGGUGCACUCUGCCAGUCCAGGCCAGCAUCAGUUUGCCCCGGGGGACAAAGGCGGUGGGAAUGUGGCUCCCUUCGGGGAGUGUUAUAGCCCGCCGUGUAAUGCCCUGGGGCGGACUGAGGAACGCGCUUCGGCACGGAUGCUGGCGUAAUGGUCAUCAAUGACCCGUCUUGAAACACGGACCAAGGAGUCGUCUUCGUAUGCGAGUGUUCGGGUGUCAAACCCCUACGCGUAAUGAAAGUGAACGUAGGUGAGAGCUUCGGCGCAUCACCGACCGAUCCUGAUGUUCUCGGAUGGAUUUGAGUAAGAGCAUACGGGGCCGGACCCGAAAGAAGGUGAACUAUGCCUGUAUAGGGUGAAGCCAGAGGAAACUCUGGUGGAGGCUCGCAGCGGUUCUGACGUGCAAAUCGAUCGUCAAAUAUGGGCAUGGGGGCGAAAGACUAAUCGAACCUUCUAGUAGCUGGUUUCCGCCGA
rnacentral:rRNA from 1 species